UAUAAUGAUGAGAUAAUCAUACACAUUUAAGCUAGAUAGUAUCUGAUAGUAAUUAUAUAAAUUACUUCGUGAUUUUAGUGUUUUUGAACAAAAAAAACUUUAUCUGAUA
rnacentral:snoRNA from 1 species